GUGGCCUGCAGGAGCGCGGCGAGGCACUGGCUGCCUACCUGGACGGCCGCGAGCCGGUGCUGCGCUUUAGACCACGAGAGGAAGAGGCGCUGUUGGGAGAGAUCGUGCGCGCUGCAGCCUCGGGCGCAGGAGACCUGCCACCACUCGGGCCCGCCACUCUGCUGGCACUGUGUGUGCAGCAUUCGGCGAGGGAGCUAGAGCUGGGCCACCUGCCUCGCUUGCUGGGCCGCCUGGCCCGGCUCAUCAAAGAGGCCGUUUGGGUGAGCGCCCCCUUGUCCCACAAGUCUUUCGGUUGCCCCCUCUCUUUUCCAUCAAUAGCCACC
rnacentral:lncRNA from 1 species